rnacentral:lncRNA from 1 species
AUUAAAUGUUUGUUUCUGCAUGUUGUUUUCAGAAAUUACUUAAAUUAUAAGUUAUCUGGCUGCUGCACACAUGCCUGGCAUAUGCUUGGACAAGUUAAAAAGUGACCUGCAAACCUGUAAAUAAGCUGAACUAAGUCUGCUAUCAAAAUAGUCUUUUGAGGAAGGAAAGCCUCUCCUCUGUUCUUGUGUCAUUCUUGGCCCAAGGGUGACAUAUGGGCACAGAGCUGAUGGGAUGGGCAGUGCAGAGUGAGCCAGCAGGUGCCUUUCUCAGCAGUCUCAGCACAACAGAUGAGGUUGCACACCCAGGCUUUGGAUCACAGCCUGAAUUGCCAUGCUGAGUCUUACAGAAAGCUCAAGUGUUGUUCCCACCACCCUCUUCAUUUUAAUGGGGUCUGCACUCUGGGCUGAACAGAUCUUCAUGCUCUACAGAGAAGCAACUUCUGGAAGACUGAAUUUGAAUAGGAUCUCCACUACUCCAAGCAAGAGAAAUUUUGUGUCACAGGAAACUGCACAUUUAUGGCUCUAUCUCAUUCUGAACUGUGCCAAAAAGGAUGGUAUUCAUGGGUAGUCUCAGGAGAUUAAUCUUUCUCUGUUAGCCAGUCUUGGUGAGCAAAUCCUGGAAAUAUUCCUCUUUCAGGACCUUUGCAGAAUACUUUGACAUCUAAUGUUUCUUUUAGAAUAUGAAACCAGACUGGUAGAAUUGCUGGAGUGUUAAAUUACUACAUGGUGUCUGUCUCCUGGAGGAAGAGGGUAAAAAACUGGAAAGCAAAAGUCUCCCACUGGAAUCUUGGCUUGAGGUGAAUAGAUGAAUGACAAAAUCUUUGUUCUGCAGUAGGGCCUGUCUGACCUUUCCUUUCCUGUUGAGUUGUGAAACAACAAAGUAAACAUUUAACUGAAUGUGGCAGCCUGAGACAAUUGGCCCUAUUGUAGAAGGAACUCCAGUCCCUUUACUCUGCAUAAAUUCUCUUUGCUGGCAAUGCUAAUAGAGCUGCAGUAGAAGAAAGCCAGGCCUUUCUUUGGGCAAGACCCAAGUUUAAGCAGAAAUACAAGUGGCUUAGUCCCUGAAAGUGUCCUGGAUGCAGCAGGGCUGCUGAGGAUCACCCAUGGUCAGAGCACUUUCAAAGGUAUUUUGUUUGUAGCAUAGGAAAUUAAUUUGUAAUACUGAAGUCUUCAAAGUCCUGCCAUCAGGCUUGUUGGGACUGGUUGGAUAUGAUUUCGUUACUAACAGAACAAUGGCAGGAUGGAAUUGCUGAGAUGUAUUCCUUGUACAAAAGGGAAUAAUUUCCAAACUGCUUUCCUUGAUUUCAUGGCACUGUCAUGACACUGCAUUCCCAGCUGAGGUGGGCUUCUGAGCAUGAAUAAACCCAUGAGUUCUAAAAUGCUGGAAAUGAAC